rnacentral:rRNA from 1 species
UACGGAGGGUGCAAGCGUUAUCCGGAUUCACUGGGUUUAAAGGGUGCGUAGGUGGGAUGGUAAGUCCGUGGUGAAAUCUCCAAGCUUAACUUGGAAACUGCCGUGGAUACUAUCAUUCUUGAAUCUCGUGGAGGUAAGCGGAAUAUGUCAUGUAGCGGUGAAAUGCUUAGAUAUGACAUAGAACACCGAUAGCGAAGGCAGCUUGCUACACGAGUAUUGACACUGAGGCCCGAAAGCGUGGGGAUCAAACAGG